UGGGGAAUAUUGCACAAUGGGCGCAAGCCUGAUGCAGCCAUGCCGCGUGUGUGAAGAAGGCCUUCGGGUUGUAAAGCACUUUCAGCGAGGAGGAAGGUGGUGAGCUUAAUACGCUCAUCAAUUGACGUUACUCGCAGAAGAAGCACCGGCUAACUCCGUGCCAGCAGCCGCGGUAAUACGGAGGGUGCAAGCGUUAAUCGGAAUUACUGGGCGUAAAGCGCACGCAGGCGGUUUGUUAAGUCAGAUGUGAAAAUCCCCGGGCUCAACCUGGGAACUGCAUUUGAAACUGGCAAGCUAGAGUCUCGUAGAGGGGGGUAGAAUUCCAGGUGUAGCGGUGAAAUGCGUAGAGAUCUGGAGGAAUACCGGUGGCGAAGGCGGCCCCCUGGACGAAGACUGACGCUCAGGUGCGAAAAGCGUAGGGAGCAAAACAGGAUUAGAUACCCUGGUAGUCCACGCUGUAAAACGAUGUCGAUUUUGGAGGUUGUGCCCUUGAGGCGUGGCUUCCGGAGCUAACGCGUUAAA
rnacentral:rRNA from 1 species